UGAACGCUGGCGGCGUGCUUAACACAUGCAAGUCGAACGAAGUCCAUGGAGCUUGCUCCGGAAGACUGAGUGGCGAACGGGUGCGUAACACGUGAGAAACCUGCCCCGGACUUUGGGAUAACAGUUGGAAACGACUGCUAAUACCGAAUGUCGUCUUUUUCCCGCAUGGGGAUUUGAUGAAAGGUCCGCCGGUCCGGGAGGGUCUCACGGCCUAUCAGCUUGUUGGAGGGGUAAUGGCUCACCAAGGCAUCGACGGGUAGCUGGUCUGAGAGGAUGAUCAGCCACACUGGGACUGAGACACGGCCCAGACUCCUACGGGAGGCAGCAGUGGGGAAUCUUGCACAAUGGGCGCAAGCCUGAUGCAGCAACGCCGCGUGCGGGAAGAAGGCCUUAGGGUUGUAAACCGCUUUCAGUAGGGAAGAAAAUGACGGUACCUACAGAAGAAGGUGCGGCCAACUAC
rnacentral:rRNA from 1 species